CUGCAGCUACGACAAAUCAACAGCUAAUGGAUAGAGGAAACCAGAUGAUGGAUGAGGCUGAUCAAGCCAUUGACAGGGCUAAGAAGGUUGUUCAAGAUACUGUUGAUGUUGGAACAGAAACUGCUGCAGCUCUCAAGGCUCAGACUGAACAAAUGAGCAGGAUAAUUAAUGAGCUGGAUUAUAUCCAUCUCUCAAUCCAGAAAGCAUCUAAACUGGU